AUUGAACGCUGGCGGCAGGCUUAACACAUGCAAGUCGAACGCCCCGCAAGGGGAGUGGCAGACGGGUGAGUAACACGUGGGAACGUACCCUUUGGUUCGGAAUAACUUGGGGAAACUCAAGCUAAUACCGGAUAAGCCCUUAUGGGGAAAGGUUUACUGCCGAAGGAUCGGCCCGCGUCUGAUUAGCUAGUUGGUGAGGGAAUGGCUCACCAAGGCGACGAUCAGUAGCUGGUCUGAGAGGAUGAUCAGCCACACUGGGACUGAGACACGGCCCAGACUCCUACGGGAGGCAUCAGUGGGGAAUAUUGGACAAUGGGGGCAACCCUGAUCCAGCCAUGCCGCGUGAGUGAUGAAGGCCUUAGGGUUGUAAAGCUCUUUUACCCGGGACGAUAAUGACUGUACCGGGAGAAUAAGCCCCGGCUAACUUCGUGCCAGCCGCCGCCGUAA
rnacentral:rRNA from 1 species